AGGUCGUAACAAGGUCUCCGUUGGUGAACCAGCGGAGGGAUCAUUAUCGAGUUUCAACUCCCAAACCCUAUGUGAACUUACCACACCGUUGCUUCGGCGCGCGCUCGUCGCCGCCGAGGACGAUAAACUCUGUCUUUUAUAAGAAUCUCUGAGUGGCCGAAAGGCAAAAACAAAUGAAUCAAAA
rnacentral:misc_RNA from 1 species